rnacentral:rRNA from 1 species
UGGGGAAUAUUGCACAAUGGGCGCAAGCCUGAUGCAGCCAUGCCGCGUGUAUGAAGAAGGCCUCGGGUUGUAAAGUACUUUCAGCGGGGAGGAAGGGAGUAAAGUUAAUACCUUUGCUCAUUGACGUUACCCGCAGAAGAAGCACCGGCUAACUCCGUGCCAGCAGCCGCGGUAAUACGGAGGGUGCAAGCGUUAAUCGGAAUUACUGGGCGUAAAGCGCACGCAGGCGGUUUGUUAAGUCAGAUGUGAAAUCCCCGGGCUCAACCUGGGAACUGCAUCUGAUACUGGCAAGCUUGAGUCUCGGAGAGGGGGGUAGAAUUCCAGGUGUAGCGGUGAAAUGCGUAGAGAUCUGGAGGAAUACAGGUGGCGAAGGCGGCCCCCUGGACGAAGACUGACGCUCAGGUGCGAAAGAGUGGGGAGCAAACAGG